CCGGAGUGGACGCAUCACUGGUGUUCGGGUUGUCAUGCCAAUGGCACUGCCCGGUAGCUAAAUGCGGAAGAGAUAAGUGCUGAAAGCAUCUAAGCACGAAACUUGCCCCGAGAUGAGUUCUCCCUGAGACUUUAAGUCUCCUGAAGGAACGUUGAAGACGACGACGUUGAUAGGCCGGGUGUGUAAGCGCAGCGAUGCGUUGAGCUAACCGGUACUAAUGAACCGUGAGGCUUAACCUU
rnacentral:rRNA from 1 species